AACGAACGCUGGUAGCGUGGAUUAGGCAUGCAAGUCGAACGGGAUCCAUGAAGUAGCAAUACUUUAUGGUGAGAGUGGCGGAUUGGGGAGGAACACGUGAGCAACCUGCCUUGAGUUGGGGAAAACCAUUGGAAACGAUGGCUAAUACCGGAUGUGGCGCCUGGGGACAUCCCCGGAGCGCUAAAGGGGGCGACCCGCAAGGGGCUCCCGCUCAUUGAAGGGCUCGCGCACCAUCAGCUUGUUGGCGGGUAACGGCCCACCAAGGCUUACGGUUAGCUGGUCUGAGAGGAUGACCAGCCCCACUGGGACUGAGAUACUGCCCAGACUCCUACGGGAGGCUGCAGUCGAGGAUCAUUUGCAAUGGGCGAAAGCCUGACAAUGCGACGCUGCGUGGAGGAAUGAAGGCCUUCGGGUUGUAAACUCCUGUCAUAAGGGAACAGGCGAUCCUACCUAAUACGUAGGAAAGUUGAGUGUACUUUAAGAGGAAGGGACGGCUAACUCUGUGCCAGCAGCAGC
rnacentral:rRNA from 1 species